GAACUUGAUUGGAGAGCAU
rnacentral:misc_RNA from 1 species